rnacentral:rRNA from 1 species
CCAGACUCCUACGGGAGGCAGCAGUGAGGAAUAUUGGUCAAUGGGCGAGAGCCUGAACCAGCCAAGUCGCGUGAGGGAAGACGGCCCUACGGGUUGUAAACCUCUUUUGUCAGGGAGCAAGAACGGAUACGUGUAUCCGAGCGAGAGUACCUGAAGAAAAAGCAUCGGCUAACUCCGUGCCAGCAGCCGCGGUAAUACGGAGGAUGCGAGCGUUAUCCGGAUUUAUUGGGUUUAAAGGGUGCGCAGGCGGAUUUUUAAGUCAGCGGUCAAAUCGGGGGGCUCAACCCCAUCCAGCCGUUGAAACUGGGGAUCUAGAGUGUGCGAGAGGUAUGCGGAAUGCGUGGUGUAGCGGUGAAAUGCAUAGAUAUCACGCAGAACCCCGAUUGCGAAGGCAGCAUACCGGUGCACAACUGACGCUCAGGCACGAAAGCGUGGGUAUCGAACAGGAUUAGAUACCCGGGUA